GAAAAAGACUGUCUUCACCCACUUCCAAACCUCCCAGUUUAAAGGCUGGUUUCACAGAAGUCGCUAUGAAUUUUGCCUUUGACCUCAGUGCCACUAUUGCUUCAUCCAUUAAUAUACAGAUUGCUUCUUUUCCUUCAUUUUCCAGAGCAGAGCCAGGAGUUAACCAUGGUAGGAUUGUUUGGGAAUGCUUCUUUCAGUACUGGAAGACCACUUCUUUUUCUUGUUCCCCAAGGGAGCUGGAAUCCUCACCAGCAGAAAGCACAAAGAUCUGUUAUGACUGUAGGACUGCAGGCUGCAAAACACAGGAAUCACAGGGAAGGAACCAUUGCAUCUCAAUGGAGGAGC